rnacentral:RNase_P_RNA from 1 species
GGCGUCGGAUGGAUAGCCGCUGGCCUGACUCUGUUUCGACAGAGUGGGGGCGAGAGGAAAGUCCGGUCUCCGCAGAGCAGCGUGCCGGUUAACGACCGGGGGGGACCUCUCAUAAGGGGUCUUUACGGAAAGUGCCACAGAAAAUAUACCGCCGCCGGAUUCGUAAGGGUUCGGAGGUAAGGGUGAAAUGGUGCGGUAAAAGCGCACCGCGGUCGGAGUAAUUCGGCUGGCAGGGCAAACCCCACGCGGAGCAAGACCAAAUAGGGGAGGAGGAGCGGCUCGCUCCGUCAUACUUCCGGGUAGGUCGCUGGAGCCACAUAGUAAUGUGUGGCCUGGAUGAAUGGCUAUCGCUUUUGUUCCCGCAAGGGGACAGGAGUACAGAAACCGGCUUAUAAUCCGGCGUCUGCC